rnacentral:rRNA from 1 species
AUGAACGCUGGCGGCGUGCCUAAUACAUGCAAGUCGAGCGAACAGACGAGGAGCUUGCUCCUCUGACGUUAGCGGCGGACGGGUGAGUAACACGUGGAUAACCUACCUAUAAGACUGGGAUAACUUCGGGAAACCGGAGCUAAUACCGGAUAAUAUAUUGAACCGCAUGGUUCAAUAGUGAAAGACGGUUUUGCUGUCACUUAUAGAUGGAUCCGCGCCGCAUUAGCUAGUUGGUAAGGUAACGGCUUACCAAGGCAACGAUGCGUAGCCGACCUGAGAGGGUGAUCGGCCACACUGGAACUGAGACACGGUCCAGACUCCUACGGGAGGCAGCAGUAGGGAAUCUUCCGCAAUGGGUGAAAGCUUGACGGAGCAACGCCGCGUGAGUGAUGAAGGUCUUCGGAUCGUAAAACUCUGUUAUUAGGGAAGAACAAAUGUGUAAGUAACUAUGCACGUCUUGACGGUACCGAAUCAGAAAGCCACGGCUAACUACGU